ACGGGAGGCAGCAGUGGGGAAUAUUGCACAAUGGGCGCAAGCCUGAUGCAGCGAUGCCGCGUGAGGGAAGAAGGUUUUCGGAUUGUAAACCUCUGUCAUCAGGGACGAAAAUGACGGUACCUGAGAAGGAAGCUCCGGCUAACUACGUGCCAGCAGCCGCGGUAAUACGUAGGGAGCAAGCGUUAUCCGGAAUUACUGGGUGUAAAGGGAGCGUAGGCGGGACUGUAAGUCAGAUGUGAAAUAUGCUGGCUCAACUGGCAGACUGCAUUUGAAACUGCGGUUCUUGAGUGAAGUAGAGGUAAGCGGAAUUCCUAGUGUAGCGGUGAAAUGCGUAGAUAUUAGGAGGAACAUCAGUGGCGAAGGCGGCUUACUGGGCUUUAACUGACGCUGAGGCUCAAAAGCGUGGGGAGCAAACAGGAUUAGAUACCCUGGUA
rnacentral:rRNA from 1 species